AACAGAUGAUGCUGAUCUCCUUGUUCAACCUUUUGAUUCUUUGACUACUGAUUCUGAGCCAGCUUCAAGAUAUCUACAAGCUGUAUCUCAAAUUUCCAGAAAUUCUCAGCUGGAAGAAUCUUCAUUUCCUCCUCUUGCUGCGCCUCCUGUUAAUAGUCAACCAAGACCUCAGUCUGAUGCACCCAUGAACACUAUGGCAUCACAUCUACGCCGAAAGCAAAACAAAAGUACAAAGCUUCCUAAUUCAUCUCCUGCAUGGCCAGCAACAACCGGUCACUCACCACCGGUAAUUGGUCAUCAGCCUGCCUGGCCUGUGAUAAGUAGUGCUUCUGGAUCAUCAUCUAAUUCCAGGCAUAGUAAGGCAGUCGUGAACAAACCUUCUGCACCAGUAAUUACCCGUGGACAAGCUUGGCCUGCUGUUAAUAGUGCUUUUGGAUCAGCAUCAGGCUCUACUCAGGUUAAAACGUUGACAGCAGCAGAUGGACCUCCAUCAUCUAGUCAUUUGAACUCUGUUGCUUCUCGAUCUUCAUUAGCACAUGAAUCAUCUUCUAGCUCCGUUGGUUCAUCCAGGAGUUGGGCCCACAGCAAUCGAAUUAGCCAUUCCUCGUCAGCCCCAAACCUUGUUCAGAGUGGGUCUUUUGACUCUUCUACUACUGAUUUUCCUCCAGUCUCUGCUGCACAGUCUGGCAAACUUCCUGCAAGUGGCCAGCAGGCAGUUACAAAUGUGGAAGAUGUUCAAACCGCAAAUAAAUCUUUGGUAGAAAGGAUGCAUAUUGCUCUAGAUUUUGAUCAAGACAAAUUCACUGCAUUUAAGGACAUCUCUGCGGAAUAUCGUCAAGGUUUAAUUGAUGCUGAGACAUAUCUGGCAUAUGCCGCGCAGUUUGGCUUGUCACAUCUCGUUCUUGAGUUGGCUAGACUAUGCCCUGAUGCUGAAAGGCAAAAAGCAUUAAUUGACACCUAUAAUGCUAAUUUAGGAGGCACUGUCCCUAUACAGAAUCGUCAAAGUGGUAUCAAUCGCUUGAAAGAUGGUAGAAGUUCAAAGAAUGGUAAAGGCAAGUCAAUAGAUGCUGGAAGUGUUACUUCAAAGGAUAUUGUGGCAGAUAACAUUUUAAGUACUGUGAGGAAAUUGCAGUCUAGCCAUAAGAUUCCUGAAGAUGAUGUGGAAGUUUUGUCUAGAGAUGGUUAUCGGUCUGCUAAAGGUAAAUCAAAAUUGACUCCGAAUGAAUCCGAGGAAGAAUUGAACUCCCGAGGCAAGCCUUUAAAGCUGGAUGCCCGCCAGAAUGACUUGUCUGCUAAAGAUGAGUCAAAU
rnacentral:misc_RNA from 1 species